rnacentral:rRNA from 1 species
AGAACGAACGCUGGCGGCAGGCCUAAUACAUGCAAGUCGAACGCACUCUUCGGAGUGAGUGGCAGACGGGUGAGUAACGCGUGGGAACCUUCCCAAUGGUACGGAAUAACUCCGGGAAACCGGUGCUAAUACCGUAUAAGCCCCUCGGGGGAAAGAUUUAUCGCCAUUGGAUGGGCCCGCGUCGGAUUAGCUAGUUGGUAAGGUAAUGGCUUACCAAGGCUACGAUCCGUAGCUGGUCUGAGAGGAUGAUCAGCCACACUGGGACUGAGACACGGCCCAGACUCCUACGGGAGGCAGCAGUAGGGAAUCUUGGACAAUGGGCGAAAGCCUGAUCCAGCCAUGCCGCGUGAGUGAAGAGGCCUUAGGGUUGUAAAGCUCUUUUGGCGGGACGAUAAUGACGGUACCCGCAGAAUAAGCCCGGCUAACUUCGCGCCAGCAGCCGC